rnacentral:rRNA from 1 species
AACGCGAAGAACCUUACCUGGGUUUGACAUGCUUGGGCCGACCGGUGAAAGCCGGUUUUCCCUUCGGGGACCCUUGCACAGGUGCUGCAUGGCUGUCGUCAGCUCGUGCCGUGAGGUGUUGGGUUAAGUCCCGCAACGAGCGCAACCCUCGUCCAUAGUUGCCAGCUAGUUAUGUAGGGAACUCUAUGGAGACUGCCGGUUACAAGCCGGAGGAAGGUGGGGAUGACGUCAAGUCCUCAUGGCCCUUACAUCCAGGGCUACACACGUACUACAAUGGCCGGUACAGAAGGUUGCAAUACCGCGAGGUGGAGCCAAUCCCCAAAACCGGCCUCAGUUCAGAUUGGAGUCUGCAACUCGACUCCAUGAAGGAGGAAUCGCUAGUAAUCGCUGAUCAGCAGGCAGCGGUGAAUACGUUCCCG